GGAUGUGAGGCCGAUCUGGCUGCGACAUGUGUCACCCCAUUGAUCGCCAGGGUUGAUUCGGCUGAUCUGGCUGGCUAGGCGGGUGUCCCCUUCCUCCCUCACUGCUCCAUGUGCGUCCCUCCCGAAGCUGCGCGCUCGGUCCAAGAGGACGACCAUCCCCGAUAGAGGAGGACCGGUCUUCGGUCAAGGGUAUACGAGUAGCUGCGCUCCCCUGCUAGAACCUCCAAACAAGCUCUCAAGAUGGUUUUUCCUUUAUUGAGAUUAAGCGAUUCCACAGUGCUGUGGGAUAGUGCUACUUAGCCAAAGCCACCAACACAGGUUCACCUUCACAAGGAGCGCUGUCAUU
rfam:Dipodomys ordii contig_32329, whole genome shotgun sequence.